GAGCGCACUUCGGGCUGCGGCUGAGCCUGCGAGGCGCUGGAGCUUCAUCCGUCCUCAUCACCUCCCGUCCGUCAACGUCUUCAGCCCAUUCUGCUUUGCGGGAGUCUAGACUUUUGGAAACUUCCCAACCUGAGCUUUUCAGAAGUGAGAGAAUGCCUCAUCCAUAAUGAAGAUAUUUCUGAGGAUAAAAAGACAAGCUUUAUUUGAAGAAAAUCCUCCUCUGUGAAUGGAAUAAGUAACAGGAGCUGGUCACACAAUGA